GAUGAACGCUGGCGGUAUGCUUAACACAUGCAAGUCGAACGCACUCUUCGGAGUUAGUGGCGGACGGGUGAGUAACGCGUGAGAAUCUGGCUUUGGGUUCGGGACAACCACUGGAAACGGUGGCUAAUACCGGGUGUGCCGAGAGGUAAAAGAGAAAUUGCCUGAAGAUGAGCUCGCGUCUGAUUAGCUAGUUGGUGAGGUAAAGGCUCACCAAGGCAGCGAUCAGUAGCUGGUCUGAGAGGAUGACCAGCCACACUGGGACUGAGACACGGCCCAGACUCCUACGGGAGGCAGCAGUGGGGAAUUUUCCGCAAUGGGCGAAAGCCUGACGGAGCAAUACCGCGUGAGGGAAGAAGGCUCUUGGGUUGUAAACCUCUUUUCUUAGGGAAGAACAAAAUGACGGUACCUAAGGAAUCAGCAUCGGCUAACUCCGUG
rnacentral:rRNA from 1 species